rnacentral:rRNA from 1 species
GUUAAGACAUAACUGCCCGUACUGCAAACCGACACAGGUGGACAGGGUGAGAAACCUAAGACGGACAGGCUAACUCUCGCUAAGGAACUCUGCAAAAUGGCCCCGUAACUUCGGGAGAAGGGGUGCCUUUGAUGGUGAUGGUUCACGCAACCUAAGCUGUCAGAGGCCGCAGUGAAAAGACUCAAGCGAUUGUUUAACAAAAACACAGGUCUAUGCUAAGCUGAAAGGCGAUGUAUAUGGGCUGACACCUGCCCAGUGCCGGAAGGUUAAGAGGAGGAGUGAGAGCUCCGAAUUGAAGCCCCGGUGAACGGCGGCCGUAACGAUAACGGUCCUAAGGUAGCGAAAUUCCUUGUCGGGUAAGUUCCGACCUGCACGAAUGGUGUAACGAUUUGAGUGCUGUCUUGGCGGGAGGCCUGGUGAAGUUGUAUUAUGGGUGAAGAUACCCAUUACCUGCAGCAGGACGGAAAGACCCCAUGGAGCUUUACUGUAGCUUGGUAUUGGGUCUUGAUGCUGUGUGUAUAGGAUAGUUGGGAGACUUUGAUUGUAGGCCGCCAGGUUUACAUGAGUCGUUGGUGGAAUACCAACCACGCAGUAUUGGGAUUCUAAUCUGGUGUGUGUAACACUGGAGACAGUGCUAGGUGGGCAGUUUGACUGGGGCGGUCGCCUCCGAAAGAGUAACGGAGGCGCUCAAAGGUUCCCUCAGGUUGGAUGGAAAUCAACCGCAGAGUGCAAAGGCAUAAGGGAGCUUGACUGCAAGACUGACAAGUCGAGCAGGUGCGAAAGCAGGACUUAGUGAUCCGGCGAUUCCGAAUGGAGGGGUCGUCGCUCAACGGAUAAAAGCUACCCUGGGGAUAACAGGCUGAUUCUGCCCGAGAGUCCAUAUCGACGGCAGAGUUUGGCACCUCGAUGUCGGCUCAUCUUAUCCUGGGGCUGGAGAAGGUCCCAAGGGUUGGGCUGUUCGCCCAUUAAAAAGGUACGUGAGCUGGGUUCAGAACGUCGUGAGACAGUUCGGUCCCUAUCCGCUGCAGGCGCUAGAGUAUUGCGAAGAUCUGCCCUUAGUACGAGAGGACCGGGGUGGACAAACCUCUGAUGUAUCAGUUGUCACGCCAGUGGCAUAGCUGGGUAGUCACGUUUGGAAUGGAUAACCGCUGAAAGCAUCUAAGUGGGAAACCAACUUCAAGAUAAGUACUCUUUAACUUUAAGUUAAUAAGUCACCUUCGAGACUAGGAGGUUGGUAGGCUGGGGGUGUAAGGAUUGUAAAAUCUUUAGCUGACCAGUACUAAUUAGACGAAUGCUUAUC